rnacentral:rRNA from 1 species
ACGGGUAGCCGGCCUGAGAGGGUGUCCGGCCACACUGGGACUGAGAUACGGCCCAGACUCCUACGGGAGGCAGCAGUGGGGAAUAUUGCACAAUGGGCGCAAGCCUGAUGCAGCGACGCCGCGUGGGGGAUGACGGCCUUCGGGUUGUAAACCUCUUUCACCAUCGACGAAGGUCCGGGUUCUCUCGGAUUGACGGUAGGUGGAGAAGAAGCACCGGCCAACUACGUGCCAGCAGCCGCGGUAAUACGUAGGGUGCGAGCGUUGUCCGGAAUUACUGGGCGUAAAGAGCUCGUAGGUGGUUUGUCGCGUUGUUCGUGAAAUCUCACGGCUUAACUGUGAGCGUGCGGGCGAUACGGGCAGACUAGAGUACUGCAGGGGAGACUGGAAUUCCUGGUGUAGCGGUGGAAUGCGCAGAUAUCAGGAGGAACACCGGUGGCGAAGGCGGGUCUCUGGGCAGUAACUGACGCUGAGGAGCGAAAGCGUGGGGAGCGAACAGGAUUAGAUACCCUGGUAGUCCACGCCGUAAACGGUGGGUACUAGGUGUGGGUUUCCUUCCUUGGGAUCCGUGCCGUAGCUAACGCAUUAAGUACCCCGCCUGGGGAGUACGGCCGCAAGGCUAAAACUCAAAGGAAUUGACGGGGG